GAUCAUGGCUCAGGACGAACGCUGGCGGCAUGCCUNAUACAUGCAAGUCGAGCGAACAGAUGAAGUGCUUGCACUUCUGACGUUAGCGGCGUAACGGGUGAGUAACACGUAAGGAAUCUACCUAUAAGCGGGGGAUAACAUUCGGAAACGGGUGCUAAUACCGCAUAAUAUCUUCUUCCGCAUGGAAGAAGAUUGAAAGACGGCUCUGCUGUCACUUAUAGAUGACCUUGCGGUGCAUUAGUUAGUUGGUGGGGUAACGGCCUACCAAGACGAUGAUGCAUAGCCGACCUGAGAGGGUGAUCGG
rnacentral:rRNA from 1 species